UACGUAGGUGGCAAGCGUUGUCCGGAUUUAUUGGGUUUAAAGGGUGCGUAGGCGGUCUAAUAAGUCAGUGCUGAAAUAUCCCGGCUUAACCGGGAGGGUGGCAUUGAUACUGUUGGACUUGAGUAGAGUUGAGGUUGGCGGAAUUGACGGUGUAGCGGUGAAAUGCUUAGAUAUCAGGAGGAACACCGGCGGUGUAGACGGCUUUCUGGACCGUAGCUGACGCUGAGACACGAAAGCGUGGGUAGCAAACAGG
rnacentral:rRNA from 1 species